GUUUUUUGACAUGGCGUGACCACGUGAUGACACGUUCCGCUCGUGUUGUGUUCAGGGACCCUGACCUUGGCCAGGAAAAACAGUCAGUCGGCCGUUUAAAAUAUUGCCGUCUAGUUUUUUUGCUAGUGGAUUUCUUUUGCGUGCGUUUGACGAAUUACCUCGAGGGCCGGAUCAAAUGGUCUCGCGGGCCGUAUACGGCCCGGAGGCCGGAGGUUCCCCACCCCUGCGAUAAAGGAUAUAUCCGUCCGAUCGCCAACCCUAGUAUCCCUGUAUGCCAUGAUUCAGAUCUGCUCCAAAGGUGAAUGGGUUCUUCCUUGGCCUAUAGCAUUUUAUGAAAAUAAGGGCAAUAGUUUUUCAGCUGAAAGACAAACAUACAAACCAAAAACAUAAACUGUGUCGCUGUGUUCCAUCUAUCCAUCUAUCCAUGUAUCUAUCUAUCCAUCUAUCUAUCCAUCUAUCCAUCUAUCUGAGCGCUAAUUUCAUCUUCUUUAUGUUUAUGUGCUGUGUUUUUCAGAUUUACUUACAUUCAGCUUCACAGCGCUGGAGGGAGAGGAGGCGGGAGAGGUGCCCCAGUGGGUUGCAUGGUCACAUCCUUCUAAUGAGCCCCGAUCAUCAGGUAUUCGAGCCAGAGACACCCACCCUCCUUCUGAUGCCACCUCAUACCAGAACCAGAUGGGAUGUUAUGGGAACAGCCAGAGGAGGGUAAACUGUUGGCAUGCAAAAGUCUCUCCACACCGCCUGACCUUUUGGAUACAGGUCAGGCUUCAGGCUUUGAACCCUGCAUCAUGUUCGGUGCUUAGCUGCAGCUCGAAACCUCGGAACAGAGCAAUCGAAGUGAACACUGUCUGGAAUCUCUUCUCUUCUGAAGGAAGUGUUAAAUGGUGUCGCAUGGAUUUAGCCUCUGCAUUUGACAGUUAGACUCCAUGCGGACACUAAAUGCUGCUCUGGGAAUACACUGAACGGAUUACUGAAUUACAGAAAACCCCUUUUAUGACAUUUUUCAGGAUCUUCUAGGUUUGUUGCUGGUUUGGUGGCCCCUCUCCUCUCUUUCCCCAGCAUACAGUCAUAUGCCAAAGGAUUACUACAGUAUUAUGACAGUAUUAUGACAGCAUUAUUUGAUUUCGGGAGAAUAUGCAGACUUCCAAAAAGCACACCUCUCUAUUAUCUCUCAGCAGUCAAAGAGAACAUUCAUAUUGGGCCUUGGAUUGAAAAUACAAGCACAUUGUCAACGUUUUGUCUCAAAGCAUCAAUAAUAACAGACUGUCAAACUAAACGGUGAACUUCUGUGGCACUUUAAUGGUAUGUCUUUACGUUCUCACUCUCUCUUUCUCUCUCUGUCUCUCUCUCUUUCUUUUUCAUGAACAACUGAAUAGUAUACUCUCCUGUAUUAUCAAUCUAACUCUUCUGGCUGCGAAUGAUUUAGAUAAUGUUGAAAAAUGAUGUGUGUUUGCGUCCAUGGUGGUUUGAUUCUCUCUAUGUCGGAGUAUUAAAAAAAAAAAAAAAAAAACUGGUGUCUUGAGAGUGGAGCCUUGAGGGAACUCCUGCAAGCCAAACUUAAAGCUCAGACGUCCGGCUCCACAUUUGAUGAUGAGUUACGAUGUUCUGUUUGGACACCGGGAAGCAACUGUACCUGUACGACACUGGUGAACUCGACCAUAAGUGUUCCUAUUACUAAAAGCUGGCACUCGAGAUCGUUAAAUGUAUCAAGCGGUUUUAAAAGAUGUCCAGCAGAACUUGCGCUGUCCCGUCUCCUCCCUCCCUCCCCCUCCCCCUUUUGCCGUUUGACAGUGUCUGUGUUUGUAUGUGACAUACACCUUACAGUCUUCGAUGAUUUGAUACCCAUGAUUUACUUUCAAUAUAACGAAACAAAUGACCACAAUAAGGAGAAAAAACACAACAACAUGCAAAAUGGGGAUUUUAUGCUUUCAUAGAUACAAUUAUGUGGAUUUAUAAUUAAAUAAAAAGGUAUUUUUCUUGGAAAAAGUGAAUGUUUUAUUUAAAUUCCUAAAGAACUUUGUGUCUCUUAUUCUUUUGAUUGAAACACUUUAUUUAUUUUUUAUUUAUUUGAUGAGUGGGAUUCAAACCAAACAUGUUGCUAGUAGUCUGCGUGACUAGUAGCAAAUAUAUCCAGUAGUGCAAUAGGCACAAUUUUACUGAGAGAAAAAGCCUAAACUAAUAUUUUCACUACACAUGUUUUUUUUACCUUUUUUUUACUGAUGUUAUUUGCAAUACAAUGGCCAGUUUGUUGGCCGAGAUCAAGAAAAGUCACCAAGUAGAAUAACUGGACAUUUUUGUGAAAGAUACUCUCACGUGUAUUCAAGCCGUGAAAAACCGAAGGAGAGGGAACUAAGCCGGCACGCUUCUGCGCCUGUGCCGAUGCAGAAUAUUUAUUUUCGAUGUUUGUUUUGGACGAACUUCAGCUACUGGUGGGGAAAAACAGAGACAUUUCUUCAUCUUUUGUUUUGUGCUUCACGGAGACGUGGUUUGUGGAUUGACACCUGACUCUGCGCUGCAGCAGGCAGGCUUCCAGCUGUUCAGAGCGGAUCGCGACACGGAGCUCCCCGAUAAAUCAAAAGAUGGAGGCAUCUGUUUGUAUACUAACAGUGGCUGUGUUAGGUCAUCACAGUGUGGUGGGUGGUGAUAGAGAGUCUGGACCCGCUGUCUUUAAAACAGCCUGUUAACGUCCAUUUCUUGAAUAGAUAGGGUCGUUGUUGUGAUGGGGGAGGAGGGGAGGAGGGGCGGUUGUGUCCUCACAGAAGCUGACACAGUCUCUGUGUACUCAUCCAGACUGUUGUUAUACUAAGUCCUGAACACAUCCAAAAUAUUCUCCUAUCUGGUCGGCCAUUUAAUAAAAUGUCUGUAUUCGGGGAGUUCAUGGCUGAGGUUGCCAUUGUUAAAGUCACUGAGGACAAUGACUAAGGAGUCUGGAAGCACCCAGUAUCUGCUCAGUUAGAAUGUGUGGUGCCUAAUGUACAUUGGGUUGUGGUGGAAUGUAAACACCAACUAGUAUGAAUUAAGCCAACUCACGGGGAGAGUAGAAAGGUUUGCAGAUAAUAAUAAAAGUUUUCGGAUCAGGAGAAUAGUGCUGCAGAAUCACUUUCACAUCAUUACACCAACUUGCCAUGUACCAGCCUGCUUCAAAACCUCCACCAUCAUCCUAGUCCCAAAAAAAAGAUCAUAGGACUUAACAACAACAGAACCAUUGCCCCGACCUGUGCGGUUAUGAAGUAUUUUAAGCGCUUUAUACUGUCCUACCUGAAUACCCUCACAGACCCACACCUGGACCCCCUGCAGUUCGCCUACAGAGUCAACAGAGCUGUCAACACCAUCAUCCUGACUCCACCUGCAGGUGAAUCUCAGACUUCCUGUCUGACAGUAAGCAGCAUGUCAAGCUGGAGAAACACCUCCUCAACACUCUCAUUUCUUAAUUCCCAGUUUGGACAUCUUCGAUUCCUCUCCUUGAUGAAGAGACUUGAGGAGAGAGGAGUUGAGUGAUUUAGUUUGAUCAUUUUAUUAUUAUUUUAAAGAAACUUCAAUAAAUAUGACAUGAAGCACAACAACCCU
ensembl:lncRNA